rnacentral:rRNA from 1 species
UACGUAGGGUGCGAGCGUUGUCCGGAAUUAUUGGGCGUAAAGAGCUCGUAGGCGGUGUGUCACGUCGGCCGUGAAAACCUGCAGCUUAACUGUGGGCGUGCGGUCGAUACGGGCAUCACUGGAGUUCGGCAGGGGAGACUGGAAUUCCUGGUGUAGCGGUGAAAUGCGCAGAUAUCAGGAGGAACACCGGUGGCGAAGGCGGGUCUCUGGACCGUAACUGACGCUGAGGCACGAAAGCGUGGGUAGCAAACAGG